GACGAACGCUGGCGGCGUGCUUAACACAUGCAAGUCGAACGCUGAAGCACCAGCUUGCUGGUGUGGAUGAGUGGCGAACGGGUGAGUAAUACGUGAGUAACCUGCCCUUGACUCUGGGAUAAGCCCGGGAAACUGGGUCUAAUACUGGAUGCUACAUGUCACCGCAUGGUGGUGUGUGGAAAGGGUUUACUGGUCUUGGAUGGGCUCACGGCCUAUCAGCUUGUUGGUGGGGUAAUGGCUCACCAAGGCGACGACGGGUACCCGGCCUGAGAGGGUGACCGGCCACACUGGGACUGAGGCACGGCCCAGACUCCUACGGGAGGCAGCAGUGGGGAAUAUUGCACAAUGGGCGAAAGCCUGAUGCAGCGACGCCGCGUGAGGGAUGACGGCCUUCGGGUUGUAAACCUCUUUCAGCAGGGAAGAAGCCACAAGUGACGGUACCUGCAGAAGAAGCGCCGGCUAACUACGUG
rnacentral:rRNA from 1 species